rnacentral:lncRNA from 1 species
CGGCCCUGGAGUGGCCCGACUGGAGUUUGGUCAAGGAGAGAAUUUUGUUGCCUCAUCACAGGGCGCGUUUGUGAAAUGACAGGGGAAGCUCUGAUGCAGGUCACCAAGAGCAGGGGAGUCCGUGCUGCAUUUAUCCAGACUUGUCGACUGAGGAAAGAGCCUCUGUAUUACAAACAACAGGCAUUUAUUUGGGCAAUCAGAACUGCAAUUCGAGAGGCACAGACUCAGGUAGAAACCCAAAAUGUGCUCAGAGGAAGACAAACGAGGCAAGGCUUUAUAAAGGCAGAAACAGAUAAAUCACACAGGUUGUUUUUCCAGAUUUGUGUUGGUGCCGGCAACACUGUUGCCUCGUGGUUGAUCCUAAGACCAUUGCUGAGGCAAAAGUUCUCACCUAUGGGAAUAAGCACAUUUCUGGAAAGAAGGUCAGGAUGACGACAGUGAGGCUCACUUCAAAAGUCACUCUACCUCUGGGUAGAGACGUGGUGGGCAUGCACAAGCCCCACUUCCUUGAGGACUCCCAGCCCAGUCUUAGAAGGCUUGACACAUGUCCCUGCAUUUUGCUAUCCUGUCCACAGACUGUGAGUUAGAGGCUGUGCUAACGGGAGCUUUACAAGCAGUAGAGGAAUCAUGCUCGGGUUAUGGGUGGAACGAGGCUCAGAGAGGGCGAGGAACUCUUCCAAAGCCUCACAGCAAGUGCACAUUGGGUCUUCACGCUGAAGACGAGCCCUCCCAUCCUUAUCUCAUGUGUGCUGUGACCCUGUGAGGCAGUCUCAUUCCUGUCUGACAGGAUAAUAAUAGCUCAAAAUGCUCAAAGGACUGCCCGCAGUCACAGAGUUAGUAAGUCAAAGAGCAAGAUUGUUUAUAUUUGCCAAGGAACUUUUUAAUUUGGAAAAUAUAGAAAAGUACAAAACCAGAACACAAAUUUCACAUAAAUAUACAUGGGUUUGUUAGUAAUAUUGAUGGUGUACAUUAUAUUUAAUCGCAGGAAUGUGCUUUUUUAUAUUUGCCAUUGUUAUGUAUAUAUUUGGUUGUAGUCACUGAG